rnacentral:rRNA from 1 species
GGGUCAGUAGGUUGGUCGUGCCACCGGUACGUACUGGUCUCACUGAUUCCUCCUUCCUGAAGAACCGUAAUGCCAUUAAUUUGGUGUUGCGGGGAGACAGGACUGUUACUUUGAAAAAAUUAGAGUGUUUAAAGCAAGCUAACGCUUGAAUACAUUAGCAUGGAAUAAUGAAAUAGGACGAUCGACCCUAUUUUGUUGGUUUCUAGGAUUGACGUA